CGACCGGCGCACGGGUGAGUAACGCGUAUGCAACCUACCCUUUACUGGGACAUAGCCCGAAGAAAUUCGGAUUAAUUUCCCAUAGUUUGUAAUCUUCGCAUGAUUUUUACAAUAAAGUUCCGGCGGUAAAGGAUGGGCAUGCGUCCCAUUAGCUUGUUGGCGAGGUAACGGCUCACCAAGGCAACGAUGGGUAUGGGGUCUAAAAGGAUGGUCCCACACACUGGCACUGAGACACGGGCCAG
rnacentral:rRNA from 1 species